rnacentral:rRNA from 1 species
AGGACGAACGCUGGCGGCGUGCUUAACACAUGCAAGUCGAGCGGAAAGGCCCUUCGGGGUACUCGAGCGGCGAACGGGUGAGUAACACGUGAGCAACCUGCCCUUAGCUCCGGGAUAGCUCCGGGAAACCGGAAUUAAUACCGGAUACGACCACGGCCGACAUCUGCUGUGGUGGAAAGGAUUCCGGCUAAGGAUGGGCUCGCGGCCUAUCAGCUAGUUGGUGGGGUAAUGGCCCACCAAGGCGACGACGGGUA